UACGGAGGGUGCAAGCGUUAUCCGGAUUCACUGGGUUUAAAGGGUGCGUAGGUGGGCUGGUAAGUCAGUGGUGAAAUCUCCAGGCUUAACUUGGAAACUGCCAUUGAUACUAUCAGUCUUGAAUACCGUGGAGGUCAGCGGAAUAUGUCAUGUAGCGGUGAAAUGCUUAGAUAUGCCAUAGAACACCAAUUGCGAAGGCAGCUGGCUAGACCUGUAUUGACGCUGAGGCACGAAAGCGUGGGGAGCGAACAGG
rnacentral:rRNA from 1 species